CAGCCUCCUUCAUCAUUUGCUUCUCCUCAUCAUCACCAACUCUCGGCCUCUUCUCCUACAACAGCUCAUUCCUCAGCUCCAUCUAUGCUUUCCACCUUAGCUCUUCUUCAUUUGUCCGCAGACAGCCCAACAGGCAUUAGAAACAUUCAUGGCGGCAAUAGAAAUUAGCGUGCACAGAGAGGGGAGAGAGUAGAUACGAGGAGAAAGAUGAUAUCCAAGACGGUCUCAGCGCAAUCAGAGAUCAAAGCAUCGACUAUCUUCACAUCAUGGCACGAGUUGAGGCAGAGCUGCUUCCGAUAGAGAGUUAGAAGCAGCAACUCGUGGAGCCGUGGACAACUUCAAGGAGCAGAAAUGUUUUCUACCAAUUAUACAAUUGUACCUCAUACAUGCAACCGUGAAAAAUAAUUAGAAACUACUAAAACUUCUUACCCUGUCUUCCUUGAUAGAUUUAGCCUUCAGUCAAAUUUGAUCCUCUAUGUUUUAAAAAUGAUCAAUUAGUUAUAUACGUUUGCUUCGUAAAGCAAAUUUGGUCCAUUUCGUGACUUAUAAGACCAAAAUUGUCUUUCUUUUUCAUAAUAUAUAAGAUCACAUUUUAAUUGAAAGUCAUCUUAGGAGUAAAAAUGUCAUUUUCAAAACUUAUAAGAUCAAAAUUAUCUUACAGAAUAAACGUAUGGAUUGAUUCGGUAGUUUUAAAUCUUAUAAGACCAAAAUUGUCUGAAUGUCAAACUUAUAAGACCAAAAAUAUCUUUUUCCCAAUUCAAAUAUCUAAAGGGGGAAGUCUGCGAACAUUACUUAUAAAUGGAAUUCCAACGAAAAAGAAGAAGCUUAUAGAUGGAAUUUUUCUCUUUUCUAUUUUGUAGAU